rnacentral:rRNA from 1 species
UACGAAGGUGGCAAGCGUUACUCGGAAUUACUAGGCGUAAAGGGCAGGUAGGUGGUCUGAUAAGUCUGUUGUGAAAGCUCCCGGCUUAACUGGGAGAGGUCAACAGAAACUAUCAGGCUUGAGUAUAGGAGAGGGUACUGGAAUUCCCGGUGUAGCGGUGAAAUGCGCAGAUAUCGGGAGGAACACCAAUGGCGAAAGCAGGUACCUGGACUAUUACUGACACUCAGCUGCGAAAGCUAGGGGAGCAACAGG